AUUGAACGCUGGCGGCAUGCUUUACACAUGCAAGUCGAACGGCAGCGCGGGCUUCGGCCUGGCGGCGAGUGGCGAACGGGUGAGUAAUGCAUCGGAACGUGCCCAGUAGUGGGGGAUAGCCCGGCGAAAGCCGGAUUAAUACCGCAUACGACCUGAGGGUGAAAGCGGGGGACCGAAAGGCCUCGCGCUAUUGGAGCGGCCGAUGGCGGAUUAGCUAGUUGGUUGGGUAAAGGCUUACCAAGGCGACGAUCCGUAGCUGGUCUUAGAGGACGACCAGCCACAAGGGGGCUGGGAAAAGGCCCAAGAUCCUAAGGGAGGGCGGAGGGGGGAAUUUUGGACAAAGGGGGCAAACCUGAUCCAGGCAAGCCGGGGGGGGGAAGAAGGCCUUCGGGGUGGAAACCGCUUUUGUUCGGGAAGAAAUCCUCUGGGCUAAUACCCCGGGGGGAUGACGGUACCGGAAGAAUAAGCACCGGCUAACUACGUG
rnacentral:rRNA from 1 species